rnacentral:rRNA from 1 species
CCAGACUCCUACGGGAGGCAGCAGUGGGGGAUGUUGCACAAUGGGGGAAACCCUGAUGCAGCGACGCCGCGUGAGUGAAGAAGUAAUUCGUUACGUAAAGCUCUAUCAGCAGGGAAGAAAAUGACGGUACCUGACUAAGAAGCCCCGGCUAACUACGUGCCAGCAGCCGCGGUAAUACGUAGGGGGCAAGCGUUAUCCGGAAUUACUGGGUGUAAAGCGCUCGUAGGCGGUAUGUCAAGUCAAGGGUGAAAUCCCCGCGCUCAACGUGGGAACUGCCUUUGAAACUGGCAAACUGGAGUGUGUGAGAGGAUAGUGGAAUUCCAGGUGUAGGAGUGAAAUCCGUAGAUAUCUGGAGGAACAUCAGUGGCGAAGGCGACUAUCUGGCACAUAACUGACGCUGAGGAGCGAAAGCGUGGGUAGCAAACAGGAUUAGAUACCCUGGUAAG